rnacentral:lncRNA from 1 species
CAAAGUUUAAGAUUUGAUUUAGUUUUCGUCUACAACUUUAAGUUUUGUUUUAAACUUUUUCCAAGAAAAAAACUUAUGAUGGCGAAACAUCAUCACUUCAAACAACACUGCGCAACAUUGAUCGUGAAGAUCACAUGUGAAAGCCGGCGGGACUGUUCAAGGAUGACAUAAAGUUCCCUUUUAGCGGAUUAUAUAGACGGGCUAGUGACGAGUAGUUAAUUUUAUUGGAAUGUAGUGUGAGUGGCGUGAGUCUCUUCUAAAACUUGUAAUGAUGUAAACUCUGUAAACGGCUUUUUACCAUUUUUUAUAUAAAAUAUGAUAUGCAUGUUCGUGC